UACGUAGGGGGCUAGCGUUGUUCGGAAUCAUUGGGCGUAAAGCGCGUGUAGGCGGUCCGGUAAGUCCGCUGUGAAAGUCGAGGGCUCAACCCUCGAAUGCCGGUGGAUACUGUCGGGCUAGAGUACGGAAGAGGCGAGUGGAAUUCCUGGUGUAGCGGUGAAAUGCGCAGAUAUCAGGAGGAACACCAAUUGCGAAGGCAGCUCGCUGGGACGUUACUGACGCUGAGACGCGAAAGCGUGGGGAGCAAACAGG
rnacentral:rRNA from 1 species